UGGGACAAAUCAAAGUUUUAUGGAGGCGGAAAGAAAUGCAAACAGUGUGGCAGAAAACAGUCACACACUGUGUAAAACUGUUCUGUUCUCAUUAUGUCAAAUAAGGCAGGGUGUGUGUGAUCAGAAAACACAACAGAACAGUAAGGGCCAAAGGUGUAGCGUUUUAGAAACCUCGCCCAGAAAGAUAGCAGCCGCGAAUCACGCCUGCUCAAGGUGGAAUGUGAUGAUGCUCGAACGAUUUGUCCUCCCUCGAAAGAACCCCCAGGAAUGCCAGGUGGAAAUGGAGCAUCACCCCCCCAUGAGAAACAGCAUUGUCCCUGUGAAAAAAGAAACUCACAACACAGAGAGAAAAGACAAAAAUUAGUAAUAAUACAAAAACACUCUGUCAGACAGACAUUUCCGUGUGUGAAACUGAUGAUGAUUAAAUAAUCAUAUAAUUUUAGUUUAAGAAACAACAAAACUCAAACACAUCAGUUCUCCAUCUUGUCCUCAUUUAUAAAUAACAAAGCCUCUGUUCUCUGAACAAAGCCAGGAGGAAACCAGAUGUCAUAUUCUGUAUACAAAUUGCACUUAUCUCUGCUUCUAUUAGCAAAAAUCCUCAUUUAGCAAUGUAAUACAGUCGACUGGCUUCCAGGAACCUGCCGUUCGCAGGUUGUUCCAUUAUGUAAUUAUGGAAGUAACUUAAAAUCCUGUUUGGGAGAACUGAUGACAUCAUCACCUCACACACGGUCUCACAUGUGCCCCCUAACUGGCUACCCCAUGCCCAUCUGUUCCUCCAGGUGAGAACCAGCGAGCGCGAGCGAACCCGGGUCGUGGUGCUGAAACAGAUCCCCACCAGCCACUCAGAUAAAUCUCGGCAGGAGAUAAAAAACCUGGAAAUGGCUGAGGCAACCUGAAACAGCAUCGAAGAUGUGGCAAAAUGGAAUGUUGUGAGAUAAGCCGAUGUACGAAACGCGUGCAGCGCAACGCAGGAAGGAGGGUAGAACCCCCAACCUCACUAGAAUGCUUUAGACUGUUUUGCAACAACAUGUGGGCAAAGAGGGUCAGAUCUGAAAUACCCCACAUGUGUAAACUAAAAAGAUCCGUUACGUGAAACUGCAAAUACACGCUAAUGUUUUUGCAGACUCACGGUCAUCGUAUUUAGUUUUAGAUUAAAGAAUAUGCAAACAGUACCCGUUAUCAACACGUUUAACCAUGGUUUUAUCCCAUUUACCUCUGAGGCCUUCUGGUUUUUUUAUUGAUAAGUGACUGGGCAUUUUCAAAAGAUGCAGGGGACCAGCUAA